GAUGAAGAACGUAGCGAAAUGCGAUAAGUAAUGUGAAUUGCAGAAUCCAGUGAAUCAUCGAAUCUUUGAACGCACAUUGCGCCCACCAGCAUUCUGGCGGGCAUGCCUGUUCGAGCGUCAUUUCAACCCUCGACCUCCCCUUGGGGAGGUCGGCGUUGGGGACCGGCAGCACACCGCCGGCCCUGAAAUGGAGUGGCGGCCCGUCUGCGGCGACCUCUGCGUAGUAAUACAGCUCGCACCGGAACCCCGACGCGGCCACGCCGUAAAACACCCAACUUCUGAACGUUGACCUCGAAUCAGGUAGGACUACCCGCUGAACUUAAGCAUAUCAAUAAGCGGAGGA
rnacentral:misc_RNA from 1 species